rnacentral:piRNA from 1 species
UCGAAAAGACGCCUGUGCUUU